rnacentral:rRNA from 1 species
GACGAACGCUGGCGGUAUGCUUAACACAUGCAAGUCGAGCGAGAAUCGUUUAUUGAAGGCUUCGGCUGGAAAUAGAUGAGGAAAGCGGCGAACGGGUGAGUAACGCGUGGGCAACCUGGCCUUAAGAAAAGGAUAGCCCCCGGAAACGGGGAGUAAUACUUUAUGAGAAUGAGAGAGGGCAUCCUACUUUCAUUCAAAGCGCAAGCGCUUAAGGAUGGGCCCGCGUAUCAUUAGCUAGUUGGUGAGAUAACAGCCCACCAAGGCAACGAUGAUUAGCCGGUCUGAGAGGGCGAACGGCCACAUUGGAACUGAGAGACGGUCCAAACUCCUACGGGAGGCAGCAGUGGGGAAUAUUGCGCAAUGGAGAAGAACUCUGACGCAGCAAUACCGCGUGAGCGAAGAAGGUCUUCGGAUCGUAAAGCUCUGUUAUCAGGGAAGAAGAAAAUGACGGUACCUGAUGAGCAAGUCCCGGCUAACUACGUGCCAGCAGCCG